AUUCACGCGCGCCGCAGCGGGGCACCGGAAGUUAUGGAGAGGCAUGUUUUGGGAUGACAUUGUGGUUUUCUUCAACACCGUUUAGGUAGUCAGAGGUAUUAAUAGGGGACCCUAUUACCACAUGUCUUUCUCCCUCAGUGUAUGAUAUAAUUUGUAAUCUUGGGUUUCAACUCAGAGAAAAUUGUGAUAUCAAUAGCAUUGUAACUCAGAAUGGUGAAGUAUGCUGGAAAACAAUCACAGACUGUGUGAGCUACACAGAGUCAGAGCAGGGUCUGGAUUACUGGGGAAGCGUGAGGCUGCUGGGCCCUGUGUGUGAGGCUGUCCAUUCACAUUUCUUAUCUCUGACCAAGGGGCAAUUUGAAAUUCGAUAUGCACCGUGGUUCCAGUGGACAAGUUUUCCAGAGUUAUUUCCUGAAAUAUUUGAUGCCUUGGAAAGUCUACAAUCUCCUGCUAUUUCUCUUAGCUUAAUGAAACUGACAUCGUGUCUAGAACGAGCCUUGGGUGAUGUAUUUUUACUGAUUGGGAAGGAAUGCCCCUUUCUUUUAAGAGAUC
rnacentral:lncRNA from 10 species